GACGAACGCUGGCGGCGUGCUUAACACAUGCCAGUCGAACGGAAAGGCCCUGCUUUUGUGGGGUGCUCGAGUGGCGAACGGGUGAGUAACACGUGAGUAACCUGCCCUUGACUUUGGGAUAACUUCAGGAAACUGGGGCUAAUACCGGAUAGGAGCUCCUGCUGCAUGGUGGGGGUUGGAAAGUUUCGGCGGUUGGGGAUGGACUCGCGGCUUAUCAGCUUGUUGGUGAGGUAGUGGCUUACCAAGGCUUUGACGAGUAGCCGGCCUGAGAGGGUGACCGGCCACAUUGGGACUGAGAUACGGCCCAGACUCCUACGGGAGGCAGCAGUGGGGAAUAUUGCACAAUGGGCGGAAGCCUGAUGCAGCAACGCCGCGUGCGGGAUGACGGCCUUCGGGUUGUAAACCGCUUUCGCCUGUGACGAAGCGUGAGUGACGGUAAUGGGUAAAGAAGCACCGGCUAACUACGUG
rnacentral:rRNA from 1 species